AGAGUUUGAUCCUGGCUCAGAUUGAACGCUGGCGGAAUGCUUUACACAUGCAAGUCGGGCGGCAGCACGGGGGCAACCCUGGUGGCGAGCGGCGAACGGGUGAGUAAUACAUCGGAACGUACCCUGUCGUGGGGGAUAACGAAUCGAAAGAUUCGCUAAUACCGCAUACGACCUGAGGGUGAAAGCGGGGGAUCGCAAGACCUCGCGCGAUAGGAGCGGCCGAUGUCGGAUUAGCUAGUUGGUAGGGUAAAGGCCUACCAAGGCGACGAUCCGUAGCGGGUCUGAGAGGACGGCCCGCCACACUGGGACUGAGACACGGCCCAGACUCCUACGGGAGGCAGCAGUGGGGAAUUUUGGACAAUGGGGGCAACCCUGAUCCAGCCAUUCCGCGUGAGUGAAGAAGGCCUUCGGGUUGUAAAGCUCUUUCGGCAGGAACGAAACGGCGGGCUCUAACAUAGCCUGUCAAUGACGGUACCUGAAGAAGAAGCACCGGCUAACUACGUGCCAGCAGCCGCGGUAAUACGUAGGGUGCGAGCGUUAAUCGGAAUUACUGGGCGUAAAGCGUGCGCAGGCGGCGCCAUAAGACAGCUGUGAAAUCCCCGGGCUUAACCUGGGAACUGCGGUUGUGACUUGUGGUGCUUGAGUGCGGCAAA
rnacentral:rRNA from 1 species